CAGAGUUGAAAAACUCCCAACCAUUGUGAACCUACCUCACCGUUGCCUCGGCGGGUGGCCCCUCCCCCUCACCCGGGGUCGGGCCGCGCAGGCUUGCCCGGAUCGCCCGGGCCAAGCCAGCAAUCCCGUCGGAGGACCACAACUCUUAGUUAUGUUUGGCCUCUCUGAGUACAACUUAUACAAUAAGUUA
rnacentral:misc_RNA from 1 species